rnacentral:rRNA from 1 species
UACGUAGGGGGCAAGCGUUGUCCGGAAUCAUUGGGCGUAAAGAGCGUGUAGGCGGCCCGGUAAGUCCGCUGUAAAAGUCAAAGGCUCAACCUUUGAAUGUCAGUGGAUACUGCCGGGCUAGAGUCCGGAAGAGGCGAGUGGAACUCCUGGUGUAGCGGUGGAAUGCGCAGAUAUCAGGAAGAACACCAACGGCGAAAGCAGCUCGCUAGGACGGUACUGACGCUGAGACGCGAAAGCGUGGGGAGCGAACAGG